CAUCAACCACCUCCACUUUCAGGCAUACUACUUGACAGUGCCUUUCCCUGUUGAGAAGGCAGCUACCAAGAGGAUUUUCCUUGCUGAGGGCACAAUGAAUAGUGGAGUAAAGGUGUCCAAGCUGAUGAACUACCCUGUGAGGGGACUGGUUUUUGAGGGAGGCAACUCACUGAGCGAUCUGGCCAAUGUGGUUUCCAGCGCUUGUAUCUGGCUGCAGGACAACAAUGUGCCUUACAAUGUUCUUAUCUCUGACUGCGGCAAAAAGAUCUUCCUCUUCCCUCAGUGCUAUGCCGAGAAGCAGGCUCUGGGAGAAGUGAGCCAGGAGCUACUGGACACGCAGGUUAACCCAGCUGUGUGGGAGAUCAGUGGCCACAUCGUGCUGAAACGAAGGAGUGAUUACGAGGAGGCAUCAGAAGCUUCUGCGUGGAGACUCCUCGCUGAGGUUUCCCUGUCGGAGGAACGCUUCGAGGAAGUGAAGGCCUACAUCUUUGAUGCCGCUGGUCUGGUUCAGUCCGACGAGGAGGAAGUCAGCGAAGACGAGGACGCCACCUACACGCCUGUCUCCAUUGCCCCUCCUGCUGUCGCGGAAGGCUGCCUCGUCCUUCAGUGAGACGGUAGAACAGGUUGUCGGCCUGGUAAAGCGCUGUGCCGCCUUCGUCUUCUCAUCAGUCUUCUUCAGUCUUCACCCGCUGGUCGCCUAGCUUCGUCAUAGUUAUGGUUGCUGGUCUUUUAUAAGGAUCAAUGUAAUCGAACUGCCUGGAGUCUUGUGUCUGAACCUGCAUGCUACUUGCUCCUCCCUUCCCUGCUGCUCUGAUAUUCAGACUCUGCAAAUAUUAAGCAGAGAAG
rnacentral:misc_RNA from 1 species